GGGCCGGUAGCUCAGCUUGGCUGGAGCGUUCGGCUGAUAACCGAAAUGUUCUCAACACGGGAAAGGUCGUGGGUUCGAAUCCCAUCCGGCCCA
rnacentral:tRNA from 1 species